UACGAAGGGUGCUAGCGUUGUUCGGAAUUACUGGGCGUAAAGCGCGCGUAGGCGGUCAUUCAAGUCAGAGGUGAAAUCCCUGGGCUCAACCCAGGAAUUGCCUUUGAAACUGUAUGACUGGAGUGUCGGAGGGGAUAGCGGAAUUCCUAAUGUAGAGGUGAAAUUCGUAGAUAUUAGGAGGAACACCGGUGGCGAAGGCGGCUCUCUGGACCGAGACUGACGCUGAGGCGCGAAAGCGUGGGGAGCAAACAGG
rnacentral:rRNA from 1 species